AUUGAUUCAGGAAGAAUAGCAAGGCAUUCUAGCCUAGUUUUCAGUGACUUAGUUAUUUUAGACUUUGUGGGUGAUGUUAUAUACAUUUCAAAUAUUUUUCGAGACUUCAAAGAAAAUUUUUUUCUGUCCUUUUGUGCAGUAUUAUUCCUUACAAACUAGAUACAGUCUUUAUCUUGAUAUAUUCAUAUUCUACAGGUUCUUAGCUUUUCAAAAAUGUAUAGUUUUACCUAUCUAGCAUUAAUAUAAGUAU